UUGACAUUUUUCCUUAAGACAGACAAAGCAAAGACUCGAUGCAUAAAGGCGGCGCCUCUCGACGCCGAAGCACGUCUGUCGUCCACGGUGGUUUGAGGGUUGAAGAUCAAGGAUGACCAUUCGUUAAUGAUCCCUCCGCAGGUUCACCUACGGAGA
rnacentral:misc_RNA from 1 species